rnacentral:ncRNA from 1 species
CACGACCGGUCGGACACUCAUGUGACCGACCCACAAGUGGAGGUUCCGUUCUCCCACCUGACCGGCUUCGCGGCCGGCGGGUCACCGGUCAGGCAGUGCCCUUCGGCCCGCGGUCGCGGCCGGGCGGUACCGCCGAUGCGCCCCACGGUGAACCGUGGCGGUGCUCCCGGUUUCCGCGGAGCUCCGCCUGUGUCCCGUCCGGGGCGUUUUUG